AGUGAACGCUGGCGGUAGGCCUAACACAUGCAAGUCGAACGGCAGCACAGUAAGAGCUUGCUCUUACGGGUGGCGAGUGGCGGACGGGUGAGGAAUACAUCGGAAUCUACUUUUUCGUGGGGGAUAACGUAGGGAAACUUACGCUAAUACCGCAUACGACCUACGGGUGAAAGCAGGGGAUCUUCGGACCUUGCGCGAUUGAAUGAGCCGAUGUCGGAUUAGCUAGUUGGCGGGGUAAAGGCCCACCAAGGCGACGAUCCGUAGCUGGUCUGAGAGGAUGAUCAGCCACACUGGAACUGAGACACGGUCCAGACUCCUACGGGAGGCAGCAGUGGGGAAUAUUGGACAAUGGGCGCAAGCCUGAUCCAGCCAUACCGCGUGGGUGAAGAAGGCCUUCGGGUUGUAAAGCCCUUUUGUUGGGAAAGAAAAGCAGCAGGUUAAUACCCCGCUGUUCUGACGGUACCCAAAGAAUAAGCACCGUCUAACUUCGUG
rnacentral:rRNA from 1 species